UCCGAUAUGGUGUAGUGGCCAACAUGAUGCCCUCUCAUGACCCUGAGAGGUUAGGCAUAGCCCCGAGUUCGAUUCUCGGUUUCGGAA
rnacentral:tRNA from 1 species